GAGGUGGCUAUGAUAUCGGAUUUGACCCCAUUUCCGGCAAAUAGAUAUAUAGCGACUUUGACUCCGCCUAUCGAAAGAUAUAUUGAGAAGGUUAAGGAAGCGGCUAAUAAUAGUAACGCCAAGCAGAAGCUUACGUGAAGGCGAGGAGGAAGAUCAUAAUUUUUUGAAAGAAA